CUCCUACGGGAGGCAGCAGUGGGGAAUUUUGGACAAUGGGCGCAAGCCUGAUCCAGCAAUGCCGCGUGUGUGAAGAAGGCCUUCGGGUUGUAAAGCACUUUUGUCAGGGAAGAAAAGGACACCACUAAUACUGGAGUCUGAUGACGGUACCUGAAGAAUAAGCACCGGCUAACUACGUGCCAGCAGCCGCGGUAAUACGUAGGGUGCAAGCGUUAAUCGGAAUUACUGGGCGUAAAGCGUGCGCAGGCGGUUUGUUAAGACGGAUGUGAAAUCCCCGGGCUCAACCUGGGAACCGCAUUCGUGACUGGCAAGCUAGAGUAUGGCAGAGGGGGGUGGAAUUCCACGUGUAGCAGUGAAAUGCGUAGAGAUGUGGAGGAACACCGAUGGCGAAGGCAGCCCCCUGGGCCAAUACUGACGCUCAAGCACGAAAGCGUGGGGAGCAAACAGGAUUAGAUACCCUGGUAGUCCACGCCCUAAACGAUGUCAACUAGUUGUUGGGGAUUCAUUUCCUUAGUAACGAAGCUAACGCGUGAAGUUGACCGCCUGGGGAGUACGGUCGCAAGAUUAAAACUCAAAGGAAUUGACGG
rnacentral:rRNA from 1 species